ACUUUGGGCGAGUCUACAGGGAGAAAAUGAUGCUCUGACAAAGAUCUAUUCCCCUUCCUGCUCUUCUACCUUUCAUUCACGAACGCUGAGGUUUCUGACAUCCCCUAGAAUCUGCUCAGACACGCCUUCACUCCCAGGACAGCAGAACAGAGUUAAGAGAACUCAAGAAUAUUUAGGAAAACUAAUAUAUCCCAAGCUGGAUUUUUAGAGUUCUGGUGAGAUAUAACUUACAUACCAUAAAGUUCACCUGCUUAAAAUGUACAAAGCAGUAGUUUUUAAUACAUCUAUCGAGUUGUGCAAUCAUCCCUAUAAUCUGAUUUUAAUUUUUUUUUUUUU
rnacentral:lncRNA from 10 species